UAUUGGACAAUGGGCGAAAGCCUGAUCCAGCAAUGCCGCGUGAGUGAUGAAGGCCUUAGGGUUGUAAAGCUCUUUUACCCGGGAUGAUAAUGACAGUACCGGGAGAAUAAGCUCCGGCUAACUCCGUGCCAGCAGCCGCGGUAAUACUGAGGGAGCUAGCGUUGUUCGGAAUUACUGGGCGUAAAGCGCACGUAGGCGGCUUUGUAAGUUAGAGGUGAAAGCCUGGAGCUCAACUCCAGAAUUGCCUUUGAUACUGCAUCGCUUGAAUCCAGGAGAGGUGAGUGGAAUUCCGAGUGUAGAGGUGAAAUUCGUAGAUAUUCGGAAGAACACCAGUGGCGAAGGCGGCUCACAUUAACUGGUAUUGACGCUGAGGUGCGAA
rnacentral:rRNA from 1 species